rnacentral:rRNA from 1 species
GAUGAACGCUAGCUACAGGCUUAACACAUGCAAGUCGAGGGGUAGCAGGGUAGCAAUACCGCUGACGACCGGCGCACGGGUGAGUAACACGUAUCCAACCUUCCCAUAACUCGGGGAUAGCCUUUCGAAAGAAAGAUUAAUACCCGAUAGUACUUUUUCAAGGCAUCUUGAGAAAGUUAAAGAUUUAUUGGUUAUGGAUGGGGAUGCGUUCCAUUAGAUAGUUGGUGAGGUAACGGCUCACCAAGUCUUCGAUGGAUAGGGGUUCUGAGAGGAAGGUCCCCCACAUUGGUACUGCGACACGGACAAACUCCUACGGGAGGCAUCAGUGAGGAAUAUUGGUCAAUGGGCGAGAGCCUGAACCAGCCAAGUAGCGUGAAGGAUGAAGGUCCUAUGGAUUGUAAACUUCUUUUAUAGUAGAAUAAAGUGACCUACGUGUAGGUUUUUGUAUGUAUACUAUGAAUAAGGAUCGGCUAACUCCGUGCCAGCCGCCGCAGUAA